GGCUGACGCCUCGCUGCCUCCAGGACUGUCGUUUCUCGUCACCCGGCAUGAGCCGCCCCGGGAAGCGAAGACGGAGGCGUGGACUGAGGUGCUUUGCCGUGACAUGUGUAACAAAGCAGACUCUGCCCAGGAGCAGAUGUGUUUGUGGCCACUUGCCGUGUCCUUGCAGGGAAUGCCAAAGACUGUACUGUUGUCACCACAGCAUCCAAAGGACACGGAUUACAAAGCAGUACCUAAGAUGACUUAUAAGCCACUUUGGGAGCUGCCAUGCUCUGGCGCGGACCCCACGGGUGGGUGCUGCUGUCACGCUCCGCACAGUGCCCUGACCCACGUGUGCCUGCCCGAGUCACAUCGAGCAGUGGCCUGCAGCUGAGGGUCCGGCUGAGCGGAGGUGGCGCUGGAUGCGCCGUGUCCGUGUCCCGUCCCGGGAGUUCACAGUUUGCCUUGGGAGGUGAUCCGACUGGCACAGUCUGGAGGCCUGGAGGGGCUGAGGCCAGGAGCAGCAUGAAGAGUCCGGGGAGCCAGGCCGCACCCAGUGGACAGGGCUCAGCUUGGGGACUGGAGGGCAGCUGCGACCUGGGCACUCUGGGUAGAGGGAGGGGCUCACUCCGAAACUGACGGCACUGACGGCCGGAACCCAGCCGGAACGCAGACUGGGACUCGAACCCACGGUUUUAAAUGAGAAUCCCUCACCCUGUGUCUGGACUCCCUGAGGUUCGGGUUCUUCAUGUCUCUGCGCAGAAGGAAUUCAGCGAGAGACAAAGUGAUGGGCACGAGGCAGAUUUAUUAGGAUAGGACGUUUGUGAGAGGCGCCAGCGGGCAGGCGAGGAGGCUCUGCCCCGGAGGGUCCGGUGGGCCGCAGUUUUAUCCUCCAGGGGAGUGGGGGUCGGAAAGGGCCGCCUCUUCCUUUCUGGGAGUCGCAGCGCCUCCUUAGCAUCGGGUCAGGUGUGUAUUCAGAUCAGCUGAGGGGCGGUCCUCAGACUCCUGCCCUGGGUCUGAAUCUGAAUGCAGCCCUCCUCCCAGCCCCCACCCAGUGACCCGAGGCAGUUCUCCUACCUCCACCUGCGAAGCAAGCCUGCCUUGUGCUGAUGGCUUUCCUGAACCACCAGUGGGCUCCUGGCAGGUUUCCCUCGGUAUCUGUGACCCCCCUUUGAGGCGGCUACAACCACCUGUGCCUGCUCCAUCCCUAUCAACCCUGCCUUCUCUCCCCUCCGUCCCCUGGACCGGGUGCAGCUGGAGGGGGGGCGUGCUGUGACCCCUGGGGGUGAGCCACCCUCCCCAGAAGGUCUCAGGGAGCACAGCCCAGCUGCUGCCGCGUGCCCGGCAAGGUAUGUAGGGAGCAGGGGUCCCGUCUUGCCCUCACCGGUGCCUAGCGGUGGCGGUGGCAGAGGCCCCGGUGCUCAAACCAAAGGGGAGGCCUGCCUCAGAGAUGAGCGAGGGUCACAGCCUGGGGACAGCCACUCUGUCAGUGCCUCCCUCGUCACUUGCCCUGUGGCUCUUGGCAAAAAAUAUCUUUAAAACCAAAAAAGAUGUUCGCUGUGCGUCCCUGAUCAAGAUUCACAAGAAAGAGGAAAAGUGGAAAAAAAGUGACAUCCUGUUUUUCAGCCAGGUUUGGGGGGAGCUUGGGGGGGGGGCGUCUGAGACAGGGCCCCAAGGGAUAAAGUGGGUGACAGUGGCAGCACAGAGAAGACAGAGGCUGCCUGGGUAUGAGUCUGGUCCAGCUGCCUCAUAGGGAAGGGGUCUGGAAUUCCUGGGGAGGCAGAAGGAAGCCGUGAGGGUCUCAGCGGGUCUUGGGGGGGGCACUGCCAUCCAGCUCAGGAGCACGGGUCCUGGAGGUGGAGGAGGUCGGGCUGCGGGAUGGGGAGAGGGCAGGAGGGACGACGGAGGGGGUUUCUCUUCGGCGCGAACAUCUGCCAGGCUAAGGGGGGAAGGUGG